AGUGAACGCUGGCGGUAGGCCUAACACAUGCAAGUCGAACGGCAGCACAGUAAGAGCUUGCUCUUACGGGUGGCGAGUGGCGGACGGGUGAGGAAUACAUCGGAAUCUACUUUUUCGUGGGGGAUAACGUAGGGAAACUUACGCUAAUACCGCAUAUGACCUACGGGUGAAAGCAGGGGAUCUUCGGACCUUGCGCGAUUGAAUGAGCCGAUGUCGGAUUAGCUAGUUGGCGGGGUAAACGCCCACCAAGGCGACGAUCCGUAGCUGGUCUGAGAGGAUGAUCAGCCACACUGGAACUGAGACACGGUCCAGACUCCUACGGGAGGCAGCAGUGGGGAAUAUUGGACAAUGGGCGCAAGCCUGAUCCAGCCAUGCCGCGUGGGUGAAGAAGGCCUUCGGGUUGUAAAGCCCUUUUGUUGGGAAAGAAAAGCAGCAGGUUAAUACCCCGCUGUUCUGACGGUACCCAAAGAAUAAGCACCGGCUAACUUCGUG
rnacentral:rRNA from 1 species